rnacentral:rRNA from 1 species
AACGAACGCUGGCGGCAUGCCUAAUACAUGCAAGUCGAACGAGAUCUUCGGAUCUAGGGGCGCACGGGAGCGGAACGGGAGGGAAGCUGCAUUUGGGUUUGGAAUAACUUCUGGAAACGGAUGCGAAUACCGGAUGAGGACGUAAGUCGAAAGAGUCAUCGCUCAAGGCGGGGCCGGCGCCGGAUCAGGUUGUUGGUGGGGUAAGGGCUCACGAAGCCGACGAUGGUUAGCUGGCCAGGGAGGGUGAUCGGCCACAAUGGGACUGGGACACGGCCCAGACCCCUACGCGAGGCAGCAGUGGGGAAUGGUGCACUAUGGGCGAGAGCCUGAUGCAGCGCCGCCGCGUGCGGGAUGACGGCCUUCGGCUUGGAAUCCUAUUUCAGCUUUGCCGGAGCGAAAGUGACGGUACGUGGAGAAGAAGCGCCGGCUAACUACGUG